rnacentral:misc_RNA from 1 species
GAUGAAGAACGUAGCGAAAUGCGAUAAGUAAUGUGAAUUGCAGAAUUCAGUGAAUCAUCGAAUCUUUGAACGCACAUUGCGCCCGCCAGUAUUCUGGCGGGCAUGCCUGUUCGAGCGUCAUUUCAACCAUCAAGCCCCCGGCUUGUGUUGGGGACCUGCGGCUGCCGCAGGCCCUGAAAACCAGUGGCGGGCUCGCUAGUCACUCCGAGCGUAGUAAUACAUCUCGCUCAGGGCGUGCUGCGGGUUCCGGCCGUUAAAAGCCUUAUUUACCCAAGGUUGACCUCGGAUCAGGUAGGAAGACCCGCUGAACUUAAGCAUAUCAAUAGCGAGGA